GACCGGCCAGACUUAAAUUCCUGUAAUUAUGCUGCCAGGUCCCGUCUGUAAAAUAUUUCUUUGUCGAUGUCUUAUAUUUUUAGCAUAAACAGCGAUGCGAAAGUUGUCGAAGCAUUGCGAGCGCCCUCUUGUGUUUUCCGUUGAAUAGAGCAUACCGAGUUGCGUAACAAUUUGCAUAUGACAUGCAGUGCGAAAAAGCCUUUUAUUCCGUGCAGUGUUUCAAAAGCAUAGGGCUUCGGACGCACAUUCCGUGAAUUUUUCGCUAGUUUUCUUGGAGAGUAAGCAAGCAUGGGUAGGUCACUUGACUGCUUGUCGUUGCUGCUGCCAGCCACACCUUAUUGCGAGCCAGCUUGUCUAUAUUUUGCUGUGUUUCUCACGUGGUUUUGCCAUGGUUAGCACGCCGCAUGUGCAUACACAUAUCAUGUACAUGCAUAUCGUGUAGUUUGCCCAAACAUCCCGAGGCAUAGGUACACAGGCCACAACUGCUCCGGUAAGUGUUUCAACUUCGUAAAUUUUGAUGUUAUCUUAAAUAGCACUUUACGACACAUUUUUAUGCCAUGAAUACUCGAGGUUGGAAGCCAAGUCUGUAUGAAACAUUUUUAUGCCAUAAAAUAAAUAUCCCAGGUUGAAAGCCAAGUCUGUAUGAAGAUUGUUGUGCAUAAUAUGACUUGAAUUUUCGAUACCGAACCUUGUAAUAUUGACUGUAUACUUGCACAUACUUCGAUCCUUAAUACAUGUUUCUUGUAUGUUGAAUAAUAGGGUCAAUGCACUUUAUUGAACUCAAAUUUGGAUAGCGUGGAUGGAAAGAGAAAUAAGAGAAUGUUCUAGCCUGAAAUAAAACCAUGAGACAUAUAGAUGGAUGUACGAAUACAGAAUAUUGAAUACUCUUUUUAUGAGCAUUACUGUUUAAACAAACAAAUGUUAAGAUAUAGAUGUACGGUAUAAAAUGCAUUGUAAAUUCAUCAAUAUAGAAUAACUACGGAUGUGUACACAUGUACUGUGGAGAUGAAACUUUUUGAUGGCACUGAUGAUUAUUUAAUAUUCCUUCAUCGAAACAUUUAUUAGUAUUUAUGAGAUUACUUAAUAUGUACAGUAAUUUUAUUACAGCUACUGCUUGUGGUUCUGUGGUUCCUGAGUGGUCACAAAUAGAGAAGCCUUCUCGAGUAGACCAGUGUAUCCCAUAUCCAGCAUCCAUAAUAUUUGGACUGCUGAAGAAUGACUGUCGUUUUUUUGUAGUAAUAAAAUUUUGAUCAAUUUAUAGUGGAAUAUAUACCCAGUGUCACUUUCAAAUUUCUGCGUAACCUUUCCAGCUCGGUUACA